rnacentral:misc_RNA from 1 species
GAUGAAGAACGGUAGCGAAAUGCGAAAAGUAAUGUGAAUUGCAGAAUUCAGUGAAUCAUCGAAUCUUUGAACGCACAUUGCGCCCGCCAGUAUUCUGGCGGGCAUGCCUGUCUGAGCGUCAUUUCAACCCUCACGCCCCUAGGGCGUGGUGUUGGGGAUCGGCCAGCGCCCUCGCGGGCGAGGCCGUCCCCCAAAUACAGUGGCGGUCCCGCCGCAGCCUCCCCUGCGCAGUAGUUAUCAACUCGCACUGGAGCGCGGCGCGGCCACGCCGUAAAACCCCCGACUUUUAGAAAGUUGACCUCGGAUCAGGUAGGAAUACCCGCUGAACUUAAGCAUAUCAAUAAGCGGAGGA